rnacentral:misc_RNA from 1 species
CUAAGGAAUAAUUCGGAACCCUACAUUAAUCAAAAUCUUGGUCAGUUUUGAGAGUAUCUACUCUUAUGGGGAGUUAGCUCAGUUGGGAGAGCGCUCACUUGCUUGCAAGUGAGAAGACGAAGGUUCAAUCCCUCCAUUCUCCAUUGACACGUAAGUGUCAUUUUUGUUCUUUGAAAACUAGAUAAUAUUAUUUUCUGUAAUAAUUAUAUUUUUAUAUAUAAUUGAACCGAGAAAUAACCAUUGUGUUAUUUUUGAGUUUUUUAAUUAGUUUUAAUCGCUAAAACUCAAAUAAUUUAUAAUCCGUAGGAUUAUA